rnacentral:rRNA from 1 species
CCUACGGGAGGCAGCAGUAGGGAAUUUUCGUCAAUGGGCGCAAGCCUGAACGAGCAAUGCCGCGUGAACGAGGAAGGUCUUCGGAUCGUAAAGUUCUGUUGAAGGGGAAAAAGAGCGGAGAGAGGAAAUGAACUCCGAUUGAUAUUACCCUUCGAGGAAGUCACGGCUAACUACGUGCCAGCAGCCGCGGUAAUAAGUAGGUGGCGAGCGUUAUCCGGAAUGAUUGGGCGUAAAGGGUGCGUAGGCGGCCUGCUAAGUCUGAUGUGAAAGGUACCGGCUCAACCGGUACAGGCUCUGGAAACUGGCGGGCUAGAGAGCAGGAGAGGGCGGUGAAACUCAAUGUGUAGCGGUAAAAUGCGUAGAUAUAUGGAAGAACACCAGUGGCGAAGGCGGCCGCCUGGCCUGUUGACUGACGCUGAGGCACGAAAGCGUGGGGAGCAAAUAGGAUUAGAUACCCCUGUAGUC